CGCUACACUGCUGGAGGUGCUGCCUUUCAGUUUUUCCCCAGAAAAGAUCGGCUGCACUCAAGUUCCUAACCCGGUGGCAGCCAAGUCAGAGUACUCAACCGCUGGAGGGACGUCACGUUCUUCUCCUCACCUAUGGAAAGGAAACUUCCUAACGCGAAUCCGCUGACUGUGCAUUGCGACCCACUCAUCAGCUCAAACAGCAGAUGUUUUACAAGAGAAACAAAAGGACUGCAGAUACUGGAAUCAAGGUUCCGAACAGUUCGCACACAUUGCUAAUUAAUAUUGCCUAAUUUAGUCACACUACAACCAUCCGCCACUGAUAGAAUAUGAAAUUAACGAUCAAUUCCUGAAAUUACAUCAAGAUAUUUAUCUCAACGGGAAACUCUCUUGUU